GGCCAGUCCCAUUGCAAGGAGAGGGAAGCAGGGUUCAUCUCUUUAUGAGAUAGAAACAUGUACAACUGGAAAUGUGGCUGUGGCCAUUUUUGUAAAAUAUAAUCUGCCACCGUGCUUUAGACAGGUUUCUGCUCCACACAGCUGCUGGCAAUUCUAAGUGCUAGAGAAGGAUCACUGCCAUGGGGCCGCUUCUCCCUUCCCUCCAGGCCUCUGGGCUGUUUUAUGAGGUCUCACAAUGCUAUUACACUGUGACCCCACCAAGUAGGCAAUGGUCAACCUUGAGGCGCAAGAUACUUCCCAAAUUGCAUUCAGUGGGCGCCUUAACAUUGCGUCUGAUCACCGACAAUGCUUUGGGACAGAUCCAAAAGACGCCGUGACUCUUAAAGGUGUUCACAGUCUCAUUCGGGUAUCCAUAUUCACACACAGGGCACAAGGAGCAAAUAGGGACGCAAUGAACCUGUCCUGCCAGAGGCUGCCUGUGGCAACAACAGCUCCUGAAGACUGAGCUGCUGCAGGCUUCAUGUGACUCAAAGAGAAUAUUCAGGAAGCUUCAUGGAGACCUGACUUGGUUAAACCAUGGAAUGGAUCAACUCUGGAGCAUCCUUGCCACUGGCCUUCUUGUUAGGUUACUUCAUUGUAGAAUCGAAUGAAAUAGCCAAGGUGUGUAUAGGUCUGUAUGAACUAAGAAGCCAUGAACUGAUUUUGCUGGUCAGGGUAGAAGGCUUACAGUGGGUAAGAAUCCUUAUUUCAUUCAACACAAAUGAACAAGUAUUUAUUGAACAUUAUUGAGUACUUAUU